rnacentral:rRNA from 1 species
AAUUGUGGCCAAAGCUCCUUGUCAAAGAAUGAUUUUGUAAGAUGUCAGAAGCUAAACAGGGCUGCGCCUGGUUAGUACUUGGAUGGGAAACUGCUGGGAAUAUCAGGUGCCACAGUGG